rnacentral:misc_RNA from 1 species
UUGAAAAUUUUUGAGAAGUUCUGUUGCUGCCUUCGCAGAAGGAUGUGCACGUUCUUCUCUAAUUUUAUUCAUCCACCUGUGCACUUUUUGUAGGGAUUUCUUAGUAGAGUUGGCUUAGGUUAACUUGAAGGAGAUUCUCUAUGUAUUAUAAACUCUAUUGUAUGUUUUGAAUGUCUUUUUAUUGGGACUUAACUGGCCCUUUAAAACUUUGUA